CCUACGUGAGGCAGCAGUGGGGAAUAUUGCACAAUGGGGGAAACCCUGAUGCAGCGACGCCGCGUGAAGGAAGAAGUGUUUCGGUAUGUAAACUUCUAUCAGCAGGGAAGAAAAUGACGGUACCUGACUAAGAAGCCCCGGCUAACUACGAGCCAGCAGCCGCGGUAAUACGUAGGGGGCAAGCGUUAUCCGGAUUUACUGGGUGUAAAGGGAGCGUAGGCGGUUUAGCAAGUCAGAAGUGAACGCCCGGGGCUCACCUCCGGGACUGCUUUUGAACCUGUUGAACUUGAUUGCAGGAGAGGUAAGUGGAAUUCCUAGUGGAUAGGUGAAAUGCGUAGAUAUUAGGAGGAACACCAGUUGCGAAGGCGGCUUACUGGACUGUAAAUGACGCUGAGGCUCGAAAGCGUGGGGAGCAAACAGGAUUAGAUACCCUGGUAGUC
rnacentral:rRNA from 1 species